rnacentral:rRNA from 1 species
UACGGAGGAUCCAAGCGUUAUCCGGAUUCAUUGGGUUUAAAGGGUGCGUAGGCGGAAUUGUAAGUCAGUGGUGAAAGCCUGCAGCUUAACUGCAGAAUUGCCAUUGAUACUGCAAAUCUUGAGUACAUUUGAUGUGGGCGGAAUGUGUCAUGUAGCGGUGAAAUGCUUUAGAUAUGACACAGAACACCGAUUGCGAAGGCAGCUCACAAAACUGUAAACUGACGCUGAGGCACGGAAAAGCGUGGGGAUCGAACAGG